rnacentral:rRNA from 1 species
GAUGAACGCUGGCGGCGUGCCUAACACAUGCAAGUCGAACGGAGAUUACGGACGGAAGUUUUCGGAUGGAAGCCUGUAAUUCUUAGUGGCGGACGGGUGAGUAACGCGUGGGCAACCUGCCCUAUACAGGGGGAUAGCAGCUGGAAACGGCUGGUAAGACCGCAUAAGUCGGUUAAAUCGCAUGAUUUGAUCGGGAAAUGAGCAAUCAGGUAUAGGAUGGGCCCGCGUCCGAUUAGCCAGUUGGCAGGGUAAAAGCCUACCAAAGCGACGAUCGGUAGCCGGACUGAGAAGUCGGACGGCCACAUUGGGACUGAGACACGGCCCAAACUCCUACGGGAGGCAGCAGUGGGGGAUAUUGCACAAUGGAGGAAACUCUGAUGCAGCGACGCCGCGUGAGUGAAGAAGUAUUUCGGUAUGUAAAGCUCUAUCAGCAGGGAAGAUGAUGACGGUACCUGACUAAGAAGCCCCGGCUAACUACGUG